rnacentral:lncRNA from 1 species
GUCGGCUGGGCUGCCCGCCGCUCCGCGCGCCCGGGCGGUCGCAGGUCGCGCCUGCUUUGGCCCCGGCGGGUUCGGCAUCCGAGCCUGGCAGGGGCCAAUAGAAAGUUUCCUACACUACUGAGGUUUAGGGGCACUGUGAAGCAAAAGCCACGCCUCAGAAUCCCAGGCGGAGACUCCGACCUCGUCCCGGGAGGGAAGCCAGUAGCUGAGCACCUGCGGGAGAUUAAAGAGAGGAAUAAGGAGAAACACUGGAAGGCAAGUGGCUGCUGACUGGAGGAGAUAAUUGGAUGCUGCAAGCGGCAAAGGGCUCGGGAUGCAAAACACCGCAAGAAAUGCAACAAGUGAGGAGCAUUCCCGCAAAGAAAAAACGCACAGGCCGAGAGCAGUGGCUCACGCCUGUAAUCCCAGCAGUUUGGGAGGCCGAGGCAGGUGCAUCGCUUGAGGACAGGAGUUCGAGACUAGGCUGGCCAACAUGGUGAAACCCCAUCUCUACUAAA